GUGACGGCUAGUGAUAUGUAAGUGGUGUGUGAUUCUUGAUGUUUUCCUGAAGAUAUCUGCAACUUGCCUCUAGAGCGUGAACAUGAGUUUGAUGGAGGUGAAAAGUUGAUCUCUUAUCUCAAGCCCUAGUGCUGCUUCCUCAAAGUUUUUUCUCUCAUUUUCCCUUGUUUCCACGUAUUGAAGAAAGUAGCAUCUAAAAUCCUAAUUUUUGGCCCAACUUAG
rnacentral:lncRNA from 1 species